UUUUAAGAAGAAGGGGGGGAGACUCCCCCUUUUAACAUGGGAUUCCCCUAGUAACGGCGAGUGAAGAGGGAAGAGCUCAAAUUUGAAAGCUGGUACCUUCGGUAUCCGCGUUGUAACCUCGAGACACGUUUUCMGYSCSKSGCUAUGGGACAAUGUUCCUUGGAACAGGACAUCGUAGAGGGUGAAAAUCCCGUACUUGCCAUGGAUGUACCGUGCUUUGCGAUACGUGCUCUWAGAGUCGAGUUGUUUGGGAUUGCAGCUCAAAAUGGGUGGUAGACUCCAUCUAAAGCUAAAUAUCGGGGAGAGACCGAUAGCGAACAAGUACCGUGAGGGAAAGAUGAAAAGCACUUUGGAAAGAGAGUUAAAAGUACGUGAAAUUGUCGAAAGGGAAGCGCUUGAAGUCAGCCAUGCCGCUCAGGACUCAGCCUGGCUUUUGCUUGGUGUAUUUCCUGGGUAGCAAGUCAGCAUUGGUUUGGAUCGUCGGAGAAGCAUAGUCGGAAUGYSGCGCYSUYRSRCRUKKKAUAGCCUUCUAUUGGAUACGACGAUCUAGACCAAGGAACGCAGCGCGCCUUAUGGCGGGUCUUCGGACACCUUCGCGCUUAGGAUGUUGGGCAUAAAAAGAGGGGGGGUGCUGCCCCUCUA
rnacentral:rRNA from 1 species